CGCGAAGACUGGAACCCUGCUGAGCCGAGAGACUUCAUUGAUGCUUUUCUCAAUGAAAUGGCAAAGUACCCAGACAAGACGACUACAAGUUUCAAUGAAGAAAACCUCAUCUGCAGCACCCUGGACCUCUUCCUUGCUGGGACAGAGACAACAUCCACGACACUGCGCUGGGCUGUGCUCUACAUGGCCCUCUACCCAGAAGUCCAAGAAAAAGUACAGGCUGAAAUUGACCAAGUGAUUGGCCAGGAGAAGCAUCCCAGCCUGGCUGACAGAGACUCUAUGCCCUACACCAAUGCUGUUGUCCAUGAAAUUCAGAGAAUGGGCAAUAUUGUCCCUCUGAAUGUUCCCAGAGAAGUGGCUGUUGAUACUACACUGGCUGGAUUCCAUCUGCCGAAAGGGAUCUGUGGUUAUGACCAACUUGACUGCAUUGCAUAUGGACCCAAAAGAGUGGGCCACCCCAGAUGUGUUCAACCCAGAGCACUUUUUGGAGAAUGGACAGUUUAAGAAGAGAGACUCUUUCCUGCCAUUCUCAAUGGGAAAGCGAGCUUGCCUUGGAGAACAAUUGGCCAGGUCUGAGCUCUUUAUUUUCUUCACGGCUCUCAUGCAAAAAUUUACCUUCAAGCCGCCAACCAAUGAGAAGCUGAGUCUGAAGUUCAGAUUAGGCAUCACCAUUUCUCCAGUCAGCCACCGCAUCUGCGCUGUCCCUAGACUGUGAUGUUGGAGAAGAAAAGGAGAACAGGAAGAACUGAAGAACUCACUGAGCCACUGCCGUGAAGGGAGAGAAAGAAGGUGACUGGGAAAGCUGGAAAGAAUUAGACUAAAGUCAGUGGACCAUAUUCUGGACUACUGAGACCUCCAAAUUGGUUGAGGAUAAAUAACUUAUGUGCUCAAUGAUAAAUCUUUUCAUCUACAAGUUGCAAAGAAAAUAAUGGUUCUUCCUGUGAAAAGUGCUUGUAAAUAUGAAAUGGUGAUACACCAACAGCAUAGAAAUCAUUGUCAUGUCAUAAAAUUAUACCUU
rnacentral:lncRNA from 1 species